UUAACUGAAACCAAAAGAGAGGUAUAUUAUUGUUAAUAAUAAAAUUGAAUUAUUAAUUCCAGUUAAG
rnacentral:tRNA from 1 species